AUUGAAAAGGACGCGUACCGCGUCAACGGGGCCCGGAGAGCGACUGACUUGACUCGGGGUUCCGGGCCCCUCCACUGCCAUAUUGUUCCCUAAAGUGGGGGACACCAGGUGUACAGUCUCCAGCUAAAAUCCAGUUAAAACUAUGUGAGUCACGACAACGCCCUAAUCAUCAUAUCGUGUAUCCCAUGAACCGCAGCAGCAUCUCUUCAGGCUACAGCAAGAUGCAUCUCCGCGAGCCAAGGUUUUCAGUUUGGUGAAUACAUGGCCCUGGUCAUCUCUGGGCCCUUGGCAAUUCGUACACGACUCGUUUGGCUCCAUUCCUAAGGGCAUAAUGGUACAGGGCUAAGAAAUGCUUCGUCCCGGCAAAGAAUUUUCUGCCGACUAUCGGUACCACGAGGAAGACACAGGACUGGCAAUAUCGGUCCCUUCUUCGUUGGCUUUCUUCAGGCUAUAAAACACCGUCUGGCCCAGUCUCCCUCCUUUCUCAAGCUGCCUCCCAGGGCCGCAUAAACCCCACGGCUAAAGAGAGGGCUAUAGUUCCGAGCUACCGGCCGGGGCCUUGUUCAUCUGACUGGAAAAAAA